rnacentral:rRNA from 1 species
CUCCUGGAAACGGGUGGUAAUGCCGGAUGCUCCAGUUGAUCGCAUGGUCUUCUGGGAAAGCCUUUGCGGCAUGGGAUGGGGUCGCGUCCUAUCAGCUUGAUGGCGGGGUAACGGCCCACCAUGGCUUCGACGGGUAGCCGGCCUGAGAGGGCGACCGGCCACAUUGGGACUGAGAUACGGCCCAGACUCCUACGGGAGGCAGCAGUGGGGAAUAUUGCACAAUGGGCGCAAGCCUGAUGCAGCGACGCCGCGUGAGGGAUGGAGGCCUUCGGGUUGUAAACCUCUUUUGUUAGGGAGCAAGGCAUUUUGUGUUGAGUGUACCUUUCGAAUAAGCACCGGCUAACUACGUGCCAGCAGCCGCGGUAAUACGUAGGGUGCAAGCGUUAUCCGGAAUUAUUGGGCGUAAAGGGCUCGUAGGCGGUUCGUCGCGUCCGGUGUGAAAGUCCAUCGCUUAACGGUGGAUCCGCGCCGGGUACGGGCGGGCUUGAGUGCGGUAGGGGAGACUGGAAUUCCCGGUGUAACGGUGGAAUGUGUAGAUAU